GUUUGAGACUGAUGCUGAUUUUGAGACAUCCUUGUCAAUGAAUGAAGAUCUUUACCACACUAAGUACAGGGAAAAGCUUGAGAUGAUGCACAAGGUAAUUAUCUAUUAAAUUUAUUUAUUUCCUCCAACAGUAAUUAAUCUUUAUGCAUUUGAAUUAUUGUUUCAAAAGAAACUCCUCUAUUUUCUACAUUUCAAAUCUGAAUAAAUUUUGGGCCAUUUACUCAUACAUGACUAUACAUGUUGACAUUCUUUCAGAUAAGAAAUAAGGUGACAGUGAACCCACAAUAUCUUUGAGUCAUUACUUUAUGUCACGAAAUUUUUUUGCAUGCUUGGAGUGGAUUUUUCGAUUACUCAGUUGUUGAAACAAUAUGAAUGGCGAUUUGAACAAGUAAUGGCUACUCCUGCCCUUGCACAGGUGCGUCUUCAACUUAACCUCGUUUUCCACUGAAAUCGGCAUAAAGAUUUGCUUCUUCUUCUAUGUCUGCUACUAAAGUUGUGCCCGAUCCAUUUGGGAUGGAAGCCAAAAUUAUAUACCACCUCGUAUGUUCAUUCAAUAUUGAAAUGUUAAUUCUAUUUAAAUGCUAAUUUUUUCACCUGUUAUUUUAUCAUGUUGCACUUUUUCAAUAAAAAUUAAUGGGAUAAAUUUCCUAUGUAACAUGCCGGAUAUCAUAUCCUUAUUAAUUGGAACAAGUACAAAUGGCUGGAGAGUAGAGCUUUCACACAAUUCUAGGGGUGGAAGUGGUGGCAAAGCUUACUCUAGGCAAGCAUGGAGAUGCCUAUUAUUUACUUCCUAAUUCUACUUCGUUAGAAAUACAUCUGGUACCAGAAGCAAAAGCUACUCACGAUAAAUCAAGGUACUAAUCUAAAAACCAUCUUUUGCAUUCUACUUUUCUCCAAAGUACAUGAGAGUAUUUCCAAUGAAGUGGCUGGUGAAUGUUAGAGAGAAAGAAUUAUUAAAUACAUCAAAAUUAUAUACCACCUCAUAUGUUCAUUCAAUAUUGAAAUGUUAAUUCUCCUCGAGUGCUAAUUUUUUCAUCUGUUAUUUUAUCAUAUUGCAUUUUCUUCAAUCAACAUUAAUGGGAUGUUAAAUUUCGUAUGUAACAUGCUAGAAUCAUAUCCUUAUUAAUUGGAACAAGUACAAAUGGAUGGAGAGUAGAGCUUUCUCACAAUUCUAGGGAUGGAAGUGGUGGCAAAGGUGGUGGUGGUGUUAGGGGGCAUGGCCGUUUUGGUUUUGCUUUAAAAUCCUCCCAGUAUGCUGAGCAUGACUGUUUUGCCAGUUAAUGCAUGAACCAUACGGGUUUUCAAAGGCGUAGGAGUCUUACUCUCCUUAGAUAUCGCAGGAGCCCAAGCUAUGGUAGAAGGUAAUAUAUACUAAGUUACUAAGUUUUUGGUUUUUGGGAAAGAAUAAAGAACUUUGAUUAUUAUUUUUAACUCAAUCUUUGAAUGACGUUGUUAGUUAAAUGAGCAAUUUGAAUCUAUACAACCAUUCUCCUCGACAUCGAACUAUUCACCUUGAGGACGCAUCUGUUGAGUGGGUUCAGCCCACGUGUUUCAAUUUAAGCCCAAGAGGAGAUAUUAAUUGGCCCAAGCAAUUAUCUUUUAGUUAGGUCAUUAGUGGUCUUAUAUAUAUAAAUUGGUGGCUACAGGUGUGGAAGUCAAAAAUAGUGGCUAUAUAAAAAUAUAGAUAUCUUUCUCUAAACUGUGGCUAUAAUUGUGAGACAAAUUGUAGAGGUCAAAGUUGGCAGCUUUGUGUGUGAGGCAAAAAACAUAAACUGCUAGGUUGCUGCUGCUGCGAGGAGGGAAACCGGCUGAAAAAAUGAAGAAAGGGCUGUGCACGUGUGGAAGAAGAAAAAGGAAGAAAAUGUUUAUUUUCUUUCAAUAUUGUUUUGGGUGUGGGUUCACAGGGAUUUUCUUCCCUGCAAAAUGUAAAUUGGAAAUUUCUCUAAGUUGCAAUUUGGGUACUCUAGAGGUGUAGUAUUCAAAGUAGGUACGCACAAGGUUGAUCAAAUUGUUUAUUUGUGGUGAGAUUAUUUGUGAUCUUAGAGACUAAUUGUUGCGGUAUUGCAAUUUGUGGAGAAUUCAAGUUUAUCUAAACUUGAAUAAUUGUAAUAUAUAUUUUAUUAUAGUGGAUUUUGGCCGGAGUUGCUCCGUGAUUUUUCCCCCUCUACAAUGGAGGGUUUUUUUCCCCAUAAAAAUUUGGUGUUGCAUUUUUUUAUUUUUGCUUGG
rnacentral:lncRNA from 1 species